rnacentral:rRNA from 1 species
AGUGAACGCUGGCGGUAGGCCUAACACAUGCAAGUCGAACGGCAGCACAGUAAUAGCUUGCUCUUACGGUUGGCGAGUGGCGGACGGGUGAGGAAUACAUCGGAAUCUACUUUUUCGUGGGGGAUAACGUAGGGAAACUUACGCUAAUACCGCAUACGACCUACGGGGGAAAGCAUGGGAUCUUCCGACCUUGCGCGGUUGAAUGAGCCGAUGUCGGAUUGGCUAGUUGGCGGGGUAAAGGCCCACCAAGGCGACGAUCCGUUGCCGGGCUGAGAGGAUGAACAGCCACACUGGGACUGAGACACGGCCCAGACUCCUAAGGGGGGGAACAGGGGGGAAUUUUGGGCAAUGGGGGAAAGCCUGAUCCAGCAAUGCCGCGGGGGGGAAGAAGGGCUUCGGGUUGUAAAGCCCUUUUGGUGGGAACGAAAAGGACGGUGGUAAAACCACGGUUUGAUGACGGGACCCAAAAAAAAAGCACCGGCUAACUUCGUG